ensembl:misc_RNA Gm56478 viral integration site 1
UGGCAAGGCUGACAUAGAUUUUGCUGAUUUGUCUGCUUAUGAGUGGACAGGAUGCCAGUCUGGCAGUUUGCAUUGGCAAUAAAUCACCACUAGACAUUUUAUUUAAAAUUUGGCACUGGCUUGGAAGAGGUGAGGGAUUGUCAAUUUGUUUUUAUUUUGAAGCCAGGCACAAUCAUAACACAAACAGGCCACCUGGAAAC